ACAAGGUACUAGCCGAGAAAACCAUGGAAACAUGGACUAAUACCGCAUAUACUCGCUACAUAAGUAGAGUAGAGGAAAGUUUUUUCGCUUCACGAUGAGCCUGCGGCCUAUUAGCCUGUUGGUAGGGUAAUGGCCUACCAAAGCUACGAUAGGUAGCCGACCUGAGAGGGUGACCGGCCACAUUGGGACUGAGAUACGGCCCAGACUCCUACGGGAGGCAGCAGCUGAGAAUCUUCCACAAUGGACGAAAGUCUGAUGGAGCGACAUCGCGUGAGGGAUGAAGGCCUUCGGGUUGUAAACCUCGGAAAUUAUCGAAGAAUGAGUGACAGUAGAUAAUGUAAGCCUCGGCUAACUACGUGCCACAGCCGCGGUAAUACGUAGGAGGCAAACGUUGCUCGGAUUUAAA
rnacentral:rRNA from 1 species